CCUACGGGAGGCAGCAGUGGGGAAUAUUGCACAAUGGGGGAAACCCUGAUGCAGCGACGCCGCGUGAGCGAAGAAGUAUUUCGGUAUGUAAAGCCCUAUCAGCAGGGAAGCAAAUGACGGUACCUGAGUAAGAAGCUCCGUAUAAAUACGUGCCAGCAGCCGCGGUACUACGUAUGGAGCAAGCGUUAUCCGGAUUUACCGGGCGUAAAGGGAGCGUAGGCGGCCUGCCAAGUCUGAUGUGAAAUACCGGGGCGCAACCCCGGGGCUGCAUUGGAAACUGGCAGGCUGGAGUGACGGAGAGGCAGGCGGAAUUCCUAGUGUAGCGGUGAAAUGCGUAGAUAUUAGGAGGAACACCAGUGGCGAAGGCGGCGUGCUGGACGGUGACUGACGCUGAGGCUCGAAAGCGUGGGGAGCAAACAGGAUUAGAUACCCUAGUAGUC
rnacentral:rRNA from 1 species